GCGGGCAUAGUUCAGUGGUAGAAUACCAGCUUCCCAAGCUGGCUAUGCGGGUUCGAUUCCCGCUGCCCGCUCCA
rnacentral:tRNA from 1 species